rnacentral:rRNA from 1 species
GGCGAACGCUGGCGGUGUGCUUAACACAUGCAAGUCGAACGGAAAGGCACUGCUUUUGUGGGGUUCUCGAGUGGCGAACGGGUGAGUAACACGAGAGUAACCUGCCCUUGACUUUGGGAUAACUUCAGGAAACUGAGGCUAAUACAGGAUAGGAGCUCCUGCUCCAUGGUGGGGGUGGGAACGUUUCGGCGGGUGGGGAUGGACGCGCGGCUUAUCAGCUUGUUGGUGGGGGAGUGGCUUACCAAGGCUUUGACGGAUAGCCGGCCUGGGAGGGUGACCGGCCACAUUGGGACUGAGAUACGGCGCAGACGCCUACAGGAGGCAGCAGUGGCGAAUAUUGCACAAUGGGCGGAAGCCUGUUGCAGCAGCGUCGCGUUCGUGAUGACGGCCUGCUGGUUGUAAACCGCUGUCGCCUGUGACGAAGCGGGAGUGACGGUAAUGGGUAAAGAAGCACCGGCUAACUACGUG